rnacentral:rRNA from 1 species
UACGGGGGGGAGCAAGCGUUGUUCGGAUUUACUGGGCGUAAAGGGCGCGUAGGCGGCCACCGCAAGUCGACUGUGAAAUCUCCGGGCUUAACCCGGAAAGGUCAGCCGAUACUGCGGGGCUAGAGUGCAGAAGGGGCAACUGGAAUUCUCGGUGUAGCGGUGAAAUGCGUAGAUAUCUGGAGGAAUACCGGUGGCGAAGGCGGCAUCCUGGACCGGCAUUGACGCUGAGGAGCGAAAGCCAGGGGAAGCCAAAGCGGGGAUUAAGAU